UACGUAGGGCGCAAGCGUUGUCCGGAAUUAUUGGGCGUAAAGAGCUCGUAGGCGGCUUGUCGCGUCGACUGUGAAAACUCGGGGCUCAACUCCGAGCUUGCAGUCGAUACGGGCAGGCUAGAGUUCGGUAGGGGAGACUGGAAUUCCUGGUGUAGCGGUGAAAUGCGCAGAUAUCAGGAGGAACACCGGUGGCGAAGGCGGGUCUCUGGGCCGAUACUGACGCUGAGGAGCGAAAGCGUGGGGAGCGAACAGG
rnacentral:rRNA from 1 species